rnacentral:rRNA from 1 species
CCUACGGGAGGCAGCAGUGGGGAAUAUUGCACAAUGGGCGCAAGCCUGAUGCAGCAACGCCGCGUGAGGGACGACGGCCUUCGGGUUGUAAACCUCUUUUAGUAGGGAAGAAGCGAAAGUGACGGUACCUGCAGAAAAAGCACCGGCUAACUACGUGCCAGCAGCCGCGGUAAUACGUAGGGUGCAAGCGUUGUCCGGAAUUAUUGGGCGUAAAGAGCUCGUAGGCGGUUUGUCGCGUCUGCUGUGAAAACCCCGAGGCUCAACCUCGGGCCUGCAGUGGGUACGGGCAGACUAGAGUGCGGUAGGGGAGAUUGGAAUUCCUGGUGUAGCGGUGGAAUGCGCAGAUAUCAGGAGGAACACCGAUGGCGAAGGCAGAUCUCUGGGCCGUAACUGACGCUGAGGAGCGAAAGCAUGGGGAGCGAACAGGAUUAGAUACCCUGGUAGUCCAUGCGUAACGUUAGGUAACGUAGAUGUAGGACGACUACCUACGGUUACGUUGUGUCGCGAGCUACGUACAUUAACGUUACCCGUCCGUCGGGUAGGUACGGCCGCGACGACGUAAACCUAACAAACGGAAGUUAGACGGCGUGAGACGUGCCGACGACGACGACGAGGGAGGUAGG